rnacentral:rRNA from 1 species
CCCUUAGAUGUCCUGGGCCGCACGCGCGCUACACUGACAUGUUCAACAAGCCUCCUAGUUCGACAGGAUUUGGGAAAUCUUUGAACGCAUGUCGUGAUAGGGAUAGAUCAUUGCAAUUAUUGAUCUUGAACGAGGAAUUCCUAGUAAACGCGAGUCAUCAGCUCGCAUUGAUUACGUCCCUGCCCUUUGUACACACCGCCCGUCGCACCUACCGAUUGAAUGUUUCGGAGAAGAUUCCGGAUAGGACUUUUUUGAUUUAUUUCAAUUUUGUCUUAAAAGCUAUCUAAACCUCAACAUUUAGAGGAAGGUGAAGUCGUAACA